AUCAACCUGGUGUCCUGAACAACUGCUGUCUUUCUUUAGGUAGAUAUUCAUGAGAGGAAGCAGCACCAGCUCCAACCCUAAAUAAUGCCAAGGAACACGAUCUUGCAGUAGGUCGGAGCUGCCCCAGGGCAUUUGGUUUACACAAAAAGAACCUAGAGAAAAGGUGGCAUGAACUACAACUAGGCUGUCUAAUACCUUCUAUUUUUUCUCUUCUGGCCUCUUGAAGAGGAAAAUUGAAACAAAAUUAUAGCAUAAACCAUGAUAUUGUAGUAUGCUACUGCCACCUUUGAUUACUUUUAAAAUUUCUUCUCUCCUUCGUUUUCGUCCUUGCUCCAAUAAUUAAAAAAUGUAAAUAAUAAUAAUGAUGAUGAUAAAAAGAAUUCCUCCAAUCCUGUGCUUCUCAAAACACAGUUCCCAGACCAGCAGCACCAACACUACCCGUGGACUUGUUAGAAAUGUAAAUUACUGCUGGCCGAACAUCCACACAAGGUGUGUGACACUCUGGGCAGGAGCCUGAGAGCGUGCCUUAACGAGCCCACUAGGCGAUUCUGAAGCACAGCCCAUGUUUUAGCACUUUUAAAUCCUGCUGCUUUUUCUUAACCAGCAGCUUUUCAGUGUAAUCUACAGUAGUAGGCGCUACGGAUUUGCUGAGUCACUUUCCCUUCCCUUAUCCUAACCUUCCAUUCACCACUCUGCUUUCUCUCCCCAGCCUACUUCUCUCAACAUUUUCUCUCCCAUCUUGGUGUCUGAUUGCUCCUUUCCAAAGAGCAACUCGGGUUUGCUGUCUUUUUCAAAGUUUCUGGUGAUUGCCAACAACACCCUACUUAAGAGAUUCCCCACAGCACUUCCUGGGAAGCGAGAUAAGAGGAUAUCAUGAAAAGAGGUUAUUUUUGCUUGAACACUUUAUGGCACUUAUUUUUAUGUGAAAAUAAGCGGGCCACGUUUAUUCACAAACUUGAAUGAGCAAAGAGGAGUUUAAUUUUUUAAAAUGCAUAUCCCAAGAUCUUAGAUUUUGAGAUGUAGAUGCGGUAUCUGGGGGUGGAGCCCAGUGGGCUCCAUUCUUACAAGUGCCAGUGGUGAUUUUGAAGGUGCCACCUUGCUCCCUUUGACAAACACCACACAAAGCAGGAGAUUUAGGGUGGGAUGGGGCUUCCAAACCUCUCCCCUUUGCAAAUAGACACUCAACUGGAAAAUCAGUACAAUUAAAAAAAAAAAAGUAACACAGGUCCUACAUCUUUCUGGAACAUUUUUCAUGUCUUUGAUUUAGUGAUUUAGUGCUUAGGAAACAUUUCUAUCAAGUCCUUAGACUCUCAGGAUUAAAAAAAUGUUAUUAACACCUGAAGAGUAACCCAUUAAUGUGGGGGAGUUGUUCUUUUAGGUGUGAAAGUUACUCUUGAAUAAUAUAUAUGCUGACUAGUUGUAGAAAAAAUUCUGACCUAGAAAUCAUCAUGCUAAGUGAAGUCAGCCAUACAAUGAGACGCCAACAUUAAAUGUUUUCACUGACAUGUGGAACUUCUUUGCAGAACAGAUACUGACUCACAGACUUGGAAAAACUCAUGGUCUCCAAGGGAGACAGUUUGGGGGGUGGGGGAAUGCGCUGGGGUUGUGGGAUGGAAAUCCUAUAAAAUUGGAUUGUGAUGAUCAUUGUACAACUAUAAAUGCAAUACAUUCAUUGAGUAAUUUAAAAAAAGAUUUAAAAUGCAAUAAAUACAUAUUUAUCAAUAAAAAAGUUCUGAAUAAAUAUGUAACUUUAAAAGUUUUAUUCCUUUUAAAGUUUGUGCAGCAGUUGUCACUUUGAAGGAAAUUCUUUUUUCUUAAACUACCAUUAUUUGAAGUGGCUUAUAUGUGUUAGUAGGAGAAAUGAAUAUAUAUACAUACAUACUAUAUAUUGCCUGAAAAAGACCAUGAUUAUGCAUCAGUUGCUAGGAUACAAGAUGAAUAUCUGUUCCUAGUUGUGUUAUGUCCUUUCACGCUUUCUAAGGAUUGUUUUUUCUGCCAGUGUCAUCUCAAUAUUUUUACUUGUAAAAGUGCUGGAACAAAUGACUACAUUUUUGGCCUCUUAAAAUAGAAUAGAGUUGCCCAACCUCAGCAUUCUUGGCAUUUUGGCCUCAGUAAUUCUGUGUUGUUCUGUACAUUGCAGGAUGUUUAGAAGCAUCCUUGGCCUCUACCCACUAGAUGUCAGUAGCACCUCCCCCCCCAAGUUGUGGCAAUUUAAAAAUACCACCAGACAUUGCCAAAUAUCCACGGCAGGUCGGGGCGGGGGUGGGGACAAAAUUGCCACAGAUUGAAAACCAUUGAAAUAGAAACAUCACCAUUAAAAGAAUGUACAAUUCACAUUAAGUCACUAUAUAAAAUUUUUAAAUACCUGUGGUCAAGGCAUUGUUGCUUUUAUGUUGAAAACAGUGUGCUUCUACACAGUGUGUUCAAUAAAAAACAACAGUGCUUUGUGAACUCACUGAAAAAAACUAUUCUGGACAUGUACCUCUAUAAAAUAUGAAGCAUAUUUUGAAGCAUAUUUCUAACUGUAACAUUACAAUUAAAAGGUAGACAUAAGAAAAUGUUAGUAGGGGGAAAAGAAUAUUACCUCAGCUGAUGAUCAGAAUGCAGCAAGGUAAAGAAGUGAUAUGGCUCAAUAAUAUCAAUGCCUCAUUAAUACAAUGAUAUACUGGUAGGCAACAUUUAUUGAUAAAACAUUUCUGCCAGGCAUAUUACUGCUUCUGAGAAGACAGAGAUGAAAAACAAAACAAUUGUUUUCUUCUGGUGAAAAGCCCAGGGGCUAAUGGUGGCUCACGGACACACAGACAAAUAGUUACGGCAUUAUCAUAAAAAAGGAUGUGCUGAAAAAUUUAUGAUAGAAAUGUCUGCUGUUGACUUGUAAUAAAAUGGCUGAAAAACAAAAGCCUUAGCUGUGUGAGCAGUGUGGUUCACAUUUAGGUCAAGCUUCUGUCAACCUGAUGCAGAAAGGCAGUUAAUGUAAUUCAGAUGAAAGUUCCCCUCUUUUGCUACAAAUAAGCUUGUGGCAUUAGCUUAUUGGGUGAAUUGAAGCAGCUCAACUAUUUUGCCAAAACGAUCAGGAGAAGUAGUUCAGUCAGUCACUUCACUUGACUAUGCUGUUGUCUAAUGAGUUAAAUAAGUGGAUGUUAACUUGAGAGAUUUGUGUUAUUAAAUUAUAUUAAUAUGGGGUAUAACUUUUAUACCACAGUUUUUGGAGAAAGUAUUUUCCAUUUAUAGACAUAUUCUGCUCUCCCACUAGUUUGCUGGGAAAACUCUUUUUCCUAUUUCUUCAGUGGUAUAAUGACUCCAAGGACUGUAUGGCUUUACAUUGGGGAAAAAAAGGCCAAAAAAGAUAGUAAAGUAUUAAACAUUCUCACAAAUGUAGCUUAAGUCACCUUUUUGUCAGGUGGGAAAGAGACAAAUUUGGUUUGCUGGGACUAUGGCAGUGGGCUGGGCAGGAAGUUAAACCAAACACACUGCUUUAAACUUCCUGGAACUGCUGACCUGAACAAAUAACUACAAGAAUUUCAGAAAAUCAAGGAAACUGAAUUGGGAUAGAUAGCAUACUGAACAAACUGAGAGCAUGACAGCUAUGUGUGUCCACUAAAAUACUUCUGGUUCACCUG
ensembl:lncRNA